CCUACGGGAGGCAGCAGUGGGGAAUAUUGCGCAAUGGGCGAAAGCCUGACGCAGCGACGCCGCGUGAGGGAUGAAGGUCUUCGGAUCGUAAACCUCUUUCAGCAGGGAAGAACGGUCACUGUGCUAAUCAGCAGUGAAUUGACGGUACCUGCAAAGGAAGCACCGGCUAACUCCGUGCCAGCAGCCGCGGUAAUACGGAGGGUGCGAGCGUUAAUCGGAAUUACUGGGCGUAAAGCGGUCGUAGGCGGUAUGUCAAGUCAAGGGUGAAAUCCCCGCGCUCAACGUGGGAACUGCCUUUGAAACUGGCAAACUGGAGUGUGUGAGAGGAUAGUGGAAUUCCAGGUGUAGGAGUGAAAUGCGUAGAUAUCUGGAGGAACAUCAGUUGCGAAGGCGACUAUCUGGCACAUAACUGACGCUGAGGAGCGAAAGCGUGGGUAGCAAACAGGAUUAGAUACCCCUGUAGUC
rnacentral:rRNA from 1 species